rnacentral:rRNA from 1 species
GAGUUUGAUCAUGGCUCAGGACGAACGCUGGCGGCGUGCCUAACACAUGCAAGUCGAGCGAUGAAGCCCUUCGGGGUGGAUUAGCGGCGGACGGGUGAGUAACACGUGGGUAACCUGCCUCAAAGAGGGGGAUAGCCUCCCGAAAGGGAGAUUAAUACCGCAUAACAUUAGCUUUUCGCAUGGAGAGCUAAUUAAAGGAGUAAUCCGCUUUGAGAUGGACCCGCGGCGCAUUAGCUAGUUGGUGAGGUAAAGGCUCACCAAGGCGACGAUGCGUAGCCGACCUGAGAGGGUGAUCGGCCACAUUGGAACUGAGACACGGUCCAGACUCCUACGGGAGGCAGCAGUGGGGAAUAUUGCACAAUGGGCGAAAGCCUGAUGCAGCAACGCCGCGUGAGUGAUGAAGGCCUUCGGGUUGUAAAGCUCUGUCUUUGGGGACGAUAAUGACGGUACCCAAGGAGGAAGCCACGGCUAACUACGUGCCAGCAGCCGCGGUAAUACGUAGGUGGCGAGCGUUGUCCGGAUUUACUGGGCGUAAAGGAUGCGUAGUGGAUGUUUAAGUCAGAUGUGAAAUACCCGAGCUUACUUGGUGCUGCAUUUGA